rnacentral:rRNA from 1 species
GAUCAUGGCUCAGGACGAACGCUGGCGGCGUGCCUAACACAUGCAAGUCGAGCGGGGACAUGCGACGGAUCGGAAGUUUCGGAUGGAAGAGAAGAUGUAUGUUCUAGCGGCGGACGGGUGAGUAACGCGUGAGCAACCUGUCCUUCACAGGGGGAUAACACAGCGAAAGUUGUACUAAUACCGCAUAAGACCACAACGGGACAUCCCGAAGGGGUCAAAGGAGCAAUCCGGUGAAGGGUGGGCUCGCGUCCGAUUAGAUAGUUGGUGAGGUAACGGCCCACCAAGUCGACGAUCGGUAGCCGACCUGAGAGGGUGAUCGGCCACAUUGGGACUGAGACACGGCCCAAAUUCCUACGGGAGGCAGCAGUGGGGAAUAUUGGGCAAUUGGGGGGAAACCCUGACCCAGCAACGCCGCGUGAGGGAAGAAGGUUUUCGGAUCGUAAACCUCUGUCCUUGGUGAAGAGUAAGAGACGGUAGCCAAGGAGGAAGCCCCGGCUAACUACGUGCCAGCAGCGGC